rnacentral:lncRNA from 1 species
GGCCAUUAGCCAAAAUUCAUCAAUCAAGGCCUCUUUGGCAUUUUUAGGUUCUACUUGGGAAACAAAAGCGAAGUGAGAACAAAAAUUACUUAUCUUAGAACGAGUCAUUACUCCCUUUGAAAUAUCUCCCAAGAUGUUGUCGAUAGGAUGGUCUUUUGAAGAUUUCCAAGCUGGUGGAAGGUCAUUCACUUCAGCUGUCCUUUCUUCCUCAUCUUCUUCAUGACUAGUAUCUUCCUCCUUCUCAUGG